rnacentral:rRNA from 1 species
AGCGAACGCUGGCGGCAGGCCUAACACAUGCAAGUCGAACGAACCUUUCGGGGUUAGUGGCGGACGGGUGAGUAACACGUGGGAACGUGCCUUUAGGUUCGGAAUAACUCAGGGAAACUUGUGCUAAUACCGAAUGUGCCCUUCGGGGGAAAGAUUUAUCGCCUUUAGAGCGGCCCGCGUCUGAUUAGCUAGUUGGUUGAGGUAAUGGCUCACCAAGGCGACGAUCAGUAGCUGGUCUGAGAGGAUGAUCAGCCACAUUGGGACUGAGACACGGCCCAAACUCCUACGGGAGGCAGCAGUGGGGAAUCUUGCGCAAUGGGCGAAAGCCUGACGCGGCCAUGCCGCGUGAAUGAUGAAGGUCUUAGGAUUGUAAAAUUCUUUCACCGGGGACGAUAAUGACGGUACCCGGAGAAGAAGCCCCGGCUAACUUCGUG